UUAACCAGCGACAAAAAAACCUAAACCUAUCGCCCGCUCCCUCGCGCCCCUGUUGCUCCCUCCUCGGUCCCGAUCUGGAUCGAGGCUCGAGGGGACGAGGAGCUCCUGCCUCCCCGUCGGCCGGCCUCCUCCUCGCCCCGCCGCUGCGUCCGGCGCCGCCACGGCCUCUGGAGCCAGGGAAGCCAUGGCCUGAGCUUGGCCUCGAGGUCCCCGCCGCCGUCUCCUGCAGCUUCUGCCCCGCCGCCUCACCGCCCGAGCUUGCUGUCGCACCAACCUCGUGUCGAGCAUCCUACCCAUUGGCAGACAGAGAUCAUCGAUGGUUCCGUGUGGCCUUAACCCUGCACCCAUGCCCGCAAUUCUUCUACCUCCUCUCAGCUGCACAAGGAUGGGGAUUGCGAGUUAGGAUGUAAUUUUCCUGUUAAAGUGACACUCCAUGGAAUUCCUGUUAUAUCAAUGAAAAUCUUACAAGGUAAAAUGAUGGACCUGAAUGGUUCAGACAGACAUAUACUGCAUCAAUGGAAACAAGGGAUGUUCUGUCAAUCUGAUCUUAGUUCUACAGACCUCAGAGUUCUACAGCGACGCAGACUAGCAGCGACACCUCUCUCUAUUGUGCUUCUAUCUGUUCUGUGGAUCAAUUCAGAGUGUUGAUCGUUAUGGGUCGAUAAAAAAAUGUUCAGAAUCUGAUGCGUGGCAAUCAGAUGGUCAAAAAAGUGACGGUGUGUGACGAUCGGACGACCGGAUGAUCGGACGUCUUCUUCUUCAAGCUCCCAGCAUGCCGUACUCUCCAUCUAUUGUCUCUUUCGCACGGCGGGGCAGAGGGAGUUGAUCGAGGACCGCAGCGUCGGCCACCCAGGUACAAGCGCGUGGCGGCGACUGCGAUGCACAUCAGCCUACUGUUCUUCUACCGGUACACAGCGGCCAUGUGCCACCGCCGAGCCCUUCAUUGGCGUCCUCCUGGGACACCUCCAUGUAGCACCAAGGUUAAAAAAACACCCUGUUGUUGGUCCCUUUCAAUUGAAAUAUUCAUUUUACAUGCUCCGGUCAUAAGUUUGUGAUCUGCAAGGUUUAUAUGAAAAAGGAUUUCCAAUUAUGAUAAGUUGUAUCUUAUUGAUCCCAACUGUUAGACCAUGUGAGCUCACUGAUUUUGCCGUCUGAAUAUCUGUAGAGUGAAACAAACGUAGCAGUCGUAUGUCAUCUGCUUGCUGAGUUGCAUCAUUAGCCUGAGCAGAUAGCCAUCUUGCAUAUUGUUUGCCCCAAUAAUAUUUCUCAUUUUUUCUGAUGCAUCUUUUUCCCCCAUUGGAGUUAUGGUUAUCUUCUUACAUGGUUUACAUGUCAAUUUUGUAAACAAGGAACUGGUCAUAAUCAGCAAUCCUGAUUAGCUUAUGCUCAUUGCCUUGUAUCAAUUUUGAGUCUUAGUUUGUUCACCAUCAUCAAUAAGCGGGACCUUUCAUUUCUUCACAAAUGGGCCAACCCACCAAAUCGUUCAACUCAUCAACUCACAAAAUGCAUGACCAUCAAGCAAGCUAGCACAAGCUAUUUAACUAAAGAAAAGUCACUUUGUAAUGUGACUACAAAUUAGAUUACAGAGGGAAGUUUGCAAAUCACUAGCUCUGAAAGCAUAAAAUAUAUUUCAAUUUCUAGGCUGCUACAUUAUUUUGAAACAUGAGCUUUUUUAAAACUGAGUGUUUGACGUAGCUUGCUGUUAUUGUCAAACUGAAAUAGCUGAGUAUAUAUAUGUUGCUUUUUGUUUAGGAAAGUGAAAAAAACAAGAUGCCAUUUGUAUGCCAGGAAUGGCAUAUGUGAACGACUCGGGUGGUAGUUUUUAGGGUGUGGCAAGGGGCAUUUUUUAUAAACUGCCAUGGCAGUUCUUUAAUUUAGUUCUAUUUUUUGAGAAACAGCCAUCCACAGGUUAUUGAUUGUGUGGUUCUGUGUGUGUUCACUGGGACCUCGUCACCAGCGAACGUUCGCCGGGUAUUGUUCAACAUGGCUCUUGAUAAUUUAAUGAUUCAAUCAAAUUUCAUUGCAAAGUACACUGGACCAGGCUUUCCUUCUUUCUAAUGCAGUGUUAGUUGGCAUUAAGUUGUGAAAUCCAAAUCCAUACAUUUACAGUUCCUUGUUGUUCUAAUUACACAAGUAUUUUCACAUAUUUUUUUGUUAACUAAUCUUCACACCGAACACCAUCUCAGUAACUAGACCUGAUAUAGUAGUUAGUUUUGGCAUUAGACACAACAACUUUGACAUCGAUAAUUUCCUCAUAUAUUUAGAGGACAAUAAACUUGUCUAGCAUUUCAUUAUGAGUUGCAGACUCUGAAAACAAAUGUAUGUGCCCCCUAAAUGAUUAAACAUGUGGUUUCUGAAUUAUGCAUGCUGACAUGCAUUGGCAAUCAUUAUUCAACAGUAUUCCUUUUCACUGAAAUAGUAACCAUGUAAUGCUUACGAUUUAAUCUGGUUAUCUAGACAACUAAAUGGGUUAAUGUUAUGUUUAAUUAGUAUCUUUUGGCAUAUGUAAUGCGUGGAAGGAAACCAGUGUCUUUUGAUUAGGGAUUUCUGGAGGUAACAUGCCUCUGACUGUAUGCACUGAAUUUCAGAUGCUCUGUUUAGAAGAUGUUUUCUUCAGUAGUACUACAUAUUUUUAUGAUUUCCUGUAACUUGCUGAUAUGGCACCGAUUUGCCGCAUGGUGUGCUACAACUACCCUCCAGGGGAAUAUUUGUUCAGAAUCUUCAGUCUUGUAAUUUUCUCCUUGAUGACAAUGACCAUGCUGUACUGGGGGAUAUGGGAUUCCAUCCUUGCUGUUUGGACUUCCGCUGCCAAAUCCAGAUCUUAUCCAAAGACUUGAGACUCCAAAUUACAUGCCCCAGAACAUUGGCGACCAAACAUCAGAGGCCCAAUUAGUUACGAGACUGACUCAUUGGGGUUUCGCUCGCAGCAUUCUUGAGAUGUUCAGUGGCGUUCAGACUUGGUGUGCCAAAUCACCAGAUGAGAUUUAUCAGUCAGUUGUCCUGAAGAAAGAGAAACCGAUGUUCCUAUACAAUUUACCUAUGGAGGUCGCUAAUGUCCUCUCUGGCUGCUAUGAGUAUGACUUUCGGGAUCACUCCUUGAUGUUAGAUAUCUUACAGUCAUUUGAAAGGUUGGAGGUGACACAUGAACGCUGGCAAUGCAAAAUAGCAGAUAUAAAAUAACUGCAGCUCAGGCCUUGUAGUUCUACAACAACCAAGGAAGAAGUCUGUUUUUUAAGCCGACCUCGGCCAAGCAAUUUAAGCUUAUAUGGGUGCUCUCUAUUUUUCAGAGGUGCGUGUACUGAGAACGCCUAUGAUUUAGGGCCAAAAAUCUAGACAAAGUGACAAAACUUUGUACGAGACUUACUUGAAGCCAGUGAUAGCCCGUUGAAGGAUGCCGAUUGUGGCUAUCCAACUACAACAACGUGCUUGCAACUCAUGAGUGGCAAAGUAUAACAUGCCGCCUUUAUUAAAGAAGCCCCUUCAAUUUAUGUAUGCAGAAUGCUGUAAAGAACUCAUGACAAAGCCAGAUCUGUAUGCAUGUCUUAAUGUAUUUUCAUACUGGCUCGAGUAAUGUACUCUUGCCCGCCCCACGACACCGCCUUUGUAGUGUAUUCUUGGUCGCGUGUUGCUCAAUUAGGUUAUUCUAUUUUCUUUUUCUUUUUUAUUCACAAUUGUUGGCAUGAAUUUGCCGUGCAUUUGGUCCUAUCAACAAUUUAAACCUGUCAAUCGAGAAAGGAUAUGCACAUCAUCAGUGCACUUCUAUUUAUUUUGAUUAUAAAUGAGUAGUUAAUUUGCUAAUUAAAGAUGUUUUCCUGUGGGUAUAUUCAUCUCAUUAGAAGGUUCUUUUAUGUGGCUUUGGUCUUUCUAAAUAUUGUGUGGGUUUUUUCCUUUCCUGGUUUAGCUUUGUGAAACAAUGAUUAUUCUAGCGCGUGAUCUACUCAUGCCUAUUUACCUUAUUGUAUAGUUUGUCAUUCUAGAACACUAGACCUUUCUCCACAGCUGAUAUGUUGAUAUGACAAGUUUAAUUUGCCUUUAGUCUUUGCAGAACUAAUUUUGCAUCCUAGGAAGGGGGCAAAAUGGUCUUGACCACCGGCAGACUCUUCUAACAUCUCACCGUCACUCCCACGGGUAGCGUUGUAAUCGAGUCCAGCAAUUCAACUUUUGAAAAUAACAUGUAGGCCGAACCAAGAGGGAAUAGUACAGUACUUCAUUUCACUCAGGAGAGCUUCGGUUAUAUGAAAAUUAAUUAAUUUUAAUAUGAAUUUCGAUAUUCAAUACCCACAUGAAUUGUAUAAGUUGCUUUGCUCGAGAUGUGCAUUGGACUGUAGUUUCAGGGAGCUCCGUCGCUUUCUUAUAGAAUUUUGUUCAGAUAUAAACAAAUAAACCUAGAUAUAGACAUGCAUCUCAAUCUCUUGUUUUAAAGUUAAACUGUUUGUAGAUACUUUUUGAUGUACCUUUCGAACCCAUAAACUCAAUGUUGUGCUUGUAGUGUUGGUUCUGGGUUUAGAAUCAAUUUAAUAUGUGGAUUGAUAUCCCACCAACCACAAAACGGAAUUUCUUCUUUGAUAUUCUGCUGGUUUUCUGGUUGAGGAUUUCCAACAAGAGUGAAUGUAUAAUCCAGCCAACCAACCCAAGAUGUUUACCAGCACCAUCACGAUGAUCUUUCUCAGCCUGCUCGACCCAAUCAGUCUUCUAAUAUUCAUCUCAUGGUAGGCAUGCUCUGCAAAAAUGCAGCAACAUCAUUUUUUUGUCACGUAUGUUAAACUUGUGCUAUGAACUGUUAGCAUAUUGUCUCUCCUUUGCUUCAACUUUACAUAGGAUAUUCACUCCAAGGAGAGGAAAAUCACAUACAAUUUUCCACAUUUACCCUUCUGAAUUAAUUGCCUAACUGUUUAAUGAUUUUUUAGGAGGGUCAAGAAAAAGACGUAAAACCAUAGCUUGCUUCUUGGUUCCAGUUUCUGCAGCCACCAUUGAUAAGCAUGGGGCUGAGCAAAUGAGUAUCAAAGGCAAGUCAAGGAAACUUCGUCCUCUAGGCUGGUUGCGAUUUAGUUCUCCAGCAGCUUCAAUGCCAAGAUGAGGAGGUGGGAGAGGUGCCGCCCAAGGAGGCCAGGGGAGGAGGGCAACAAGGCUGGGGAGCGGAGGCGGAGGCUGACGAGGAAGAGAAUGAUCAAGCAUGUAAAUCUAGAGCACAAGCUCAUGAUUUAUCAAGGGAGUGGCGCUGCCGCCGGAGUAGAAAAUCAUAUCUCACAUUAAGGUGUUUUUGUCUUUUGUUUUUGUACAAAUUUGGUGCAGGCAAAAUUUUGAUGAUACAUAUAAGAUGACUAGCAUUAUCUUUUUAUUGAGUGCAUGUUUGGGUA